rnacentral:rRNA from 1 species
GCCAGACUCCUACGGGAGGCAGCAGUGGGGGAUAUUGCACAAUGGGGGGAACCCUGAUGCAGCGACGCCGCGUGGGUGAAGAAGUAUUUCGGUAUGUAAAGCCCUAUCGGCAGGGAAGAAAUUGGACGGUACCUGACUAAGAAGCCCUGGCUAACUACGUGCCAGCAGCCGCGGUAAUACGUAGGGGGCAAGCGUUAUCCGGAUUCACUGGGUGUAAAGGGAGCGUAGACGGCCAUGCAAGCCUGGAGUGAAAGCCCGGGGCCCAACCCCGGGACUGCUCUGGGAACUGUGCGGCUGGAGUGCGGGAGGGGCAGGCGGAAUUCCUGGUGUAGCGGUGAAAUGCGUAGAUAUCAGGAGGAACACCGGCGGCGAAGGCGGCCUGCUGGACCGCGACUGACGUUGAGGCCCGAAAGCGUGGGGAGCAAACAGGAUUAGAUACCCGCGUAGA